rnacentral:rRNA from 1 species
CAGUAGCCGCGGUAACACGUAAGGUGCAAGCGUUGUCCGGAAUUAUUGGGCGUAAAGCGCGCGCAGGCGGUUUCUUAAGUCUGAUGUGAAAGCCCCCGGCUUAACCGGGGAGGGUCAUUGGAAACUGGGAGACUUAGAGUGCAGAAGAGGAGAGUGGAAUUCCAUGUGUAGCGGUGAAAUGCGUAGAUAUAUGGAGGAACACCAGUGGCGAAGGCGACUCUCUGGUCUGUAACUGACGCUGAGGCGCGAAGGCGUGGGGAGCAAACAGGAUUAGAUACCCCUGUAGUCCCUGUCUCUUAUA